GCUCACUUCAGGAGCACAUAUUAUAAAAUAGAAACGAUAUAGAGACUAGCAUGGCUCCUGCCUAAGGACGACAUGCAAAUUUGUGAAAUGUUGUAUUUUUAA